ensembl:lincRNA
UGACAAUUCCACAUACAGCAUAAGCAAUCUUAUAUUUACAUUAAAAUUGGCAUUACACAAUAUAUAGUAAUAUGCAUCUUAGUAAAAACAUUUUUAAUUGCGUUUCUAUAAAUAUACAGCCCAAAAAGACAUCAUUCCUUUACUCUAUGUUAUCUUAUUUUUUUUCUUGAAGGAAACUGAAAAAUGAGAUAUAAAAAGAAUGCAUAUUGACACAGCUAGUGUCUGAAAGAGAAAACUGCAUGAGUAAAUUUCAAUAGUGUAUUUGGUAACCGAACCUGAAAGUCCCUUUUAGAAAAAAAGUAACUAUUCUGGAUAUGCUUUUCACCUAGAGAAAACACCAAUAAUGAUCCAUGGCACUGGUUCCAUGAUAUACCGCUUAUGGGACAAUUUCAGGCAGUACAUUUUAUUGAAGAUGGAAUGCUUACUCUACAGAAGUAAUAAUUUAUUUAUAGAAAGAGUAUUCUAUAAUAGUUUUUACUACAGCAUAUCUUAAAAUAGUAAAAAUUUAGAAAACAAUCUACUUUUCCAAGUAAUUGGUGACACAUAGGGUGUUGCUGCUACGCCAGCAUUAACAAUGAUAUGUAAUAUUUUAUAUAAUAAUAUAUUGUGAAAAGGGACUUUACAAAAGUAUUUAAUGUUAU